UACGUAGGUGGCAAGCGUUAUCCGGAAUUAUUGGGCGUAAAGCGCGCGUAGGCGGUUUCUUAAGUCUGAUGUGAAAGCCCACGGCUCAACCGUGGAGGGUCAUUGGAAACUGGGGAGCUUGAGUGCAGAAGAGAAAAGCGGAAUUCCACGUGUAGCGGUGAAAUGCGUAGAGAUGUGGAGGAACACCAGUGGCGAAGGCGGCUUUUUGGUCUGUAACUGACGCUGAGGCGCGAAAGCGUGGGGAGCAAACAGG
rnacentral:rRNA from 1 species